GGAGCUAUGCCUGAAUUAAAGGGUCACUUUGAUAGAGUGAAUCAUGAGGGUUAAAACCCCUCUAACUCCU
rnacentral:tRNA from 1 species